GUCACCUCAUCAGAGAGAAAUCAAUUAGGAGAGGCUUCACAACGAGAGCUCCUCCUCCCUCCUCCCAGCCACGAUCCACCAAGGGGAACGGAUUAAGACAGAGAUGUCUGGAGACAGAAAGGUUUUUCUGGGUGGAGAUUUCAGCAGCAUUUAGAUUUGGAAGAGCCAGAGGCUGUCUCACUCUGAAAUCUGCAGGUUAAACUGGACGACAAGGAUGGGCGACUGUCACUGGCCUGCCUCUGGAGUCUGAGCUUAGAGAUUCCUCAUGGAAUAAGAAAGGGAUUUGCACAUUUCUCUCAGCUGCCAGAUGUGCAAAGGAUCCACAAUGUGGAGAUGACUCCAGGAAAGGCUUUGGGCUGGUGGACAUGCACAGUUCCUGUGCGCCCAAACUUGUGCCGGGCACCAAGACGAGAAUAAGACAGCAGGGCAGAAGUUGUGGAGAAGCUGAAUUGUCUCUCUGCAAGGAAAAAUUUCCUGACACAAGUAUCUGUCCAGAGAGGAAGAUUCAACUGCAAGAGCUUUCAGCAGGCAAUGGUGUCCAACUAGAAUCGAAACACAUUGUUAUUGUUUUACUUAUUUUUAUAAUUACUUUUUAUUUUGGCAAGUAACGGGUGGUUUCGCAGUUACUGUAGUGCUAGAAGGCUUUUUUAAAAAAACAAUAAACAUACUUGAGUAAGAAAUAGUAAGUUGAUUUAAAGAAAAAUAUCAAGUAAAUAACAUUUUAGGUAGAAUAUGGAUUUGGCAUGAAUUGUGACACUGGUACUCGAAUGUGGAAAGUUUGGGAAACAUGAAUUUAGAGGUUGCUCAGACUCUUGUUGAACCAGUGAUCUCUGAGACCCUUCCAAGGUUAACAAUGUCUGAUAUUCUGGAUGUACAGACAGUAUAGGUCAUAGGAGCUCAGCAAGUGCUAACAUGGACAGGGAAGGCUUUGUGGGACAUGAUCUUGGUCUUAAAGAACGAGUAGGAUUUAAGUGAAG
rnacentral:lncRNA from 1 species